UGCGAGCCAUUGAUGAAAUCAGAUCAAAGGCCAAAAAUAACUGCUUAAUCAAUCCUCGUCAUUCUCUUCUAUUGGUUAGACGUGGAUAACCAUUUUAGCCGUUAGAUGGUAUCGAAUCCAACGUAUGAUAUUAAUUGGAUUUCUCUUUUAUUUUUUAAAUUAUUUUCCCAGAUCUGCACGUUAGAAACGAGAGAGAUAGAAAGAAGAGAUGGAGAUGGUCGAUUGAGAGAGAGACUGAUUUCUAGGGUUUGCUGAUUGAUUCUCUUCGUGUUCUGGAUAUUCCUUUGUGCAAAAAAAAAGAGGAUUGAUUCCUCGUCUGCUUUCGGUCCUCUCAACAAGCGAUCUAGGAACAGACAGUGGAUGAUUUACAAGGCUUCAAGGCUUUGUUUCAUUUUCUUUUGUCCAGAACAGAGGGGGUGGUCGUGAAUCCCACAUGUACCUCUCUAUCUCUCCCUUUAUUCUCUCUCUCUCUCUCUCUCUGAAAUCUGAUAUUUUUUUUCUUGGUAAAGGUGGUGGUCGUGACAGAGCUUGUGUUCAUGACCAUAGAAGGCGUUCGUGAGCAGUGGAGGCGUUUCUGAGAAAAUGUAGUGGUCAUGAGCAGAGGAGGCAGCGGCGGUCGUUAGAAGAGGAGGUAAGGCGAAGUCUCGGUAGUGAUGGAUAUGGCGGCUAUGCGACCAUGAAAGGAGGAAAGAGUAGCAGCUUAUUCAUAGAUAGAAGUUGUGCGGCGGAGGCAGAUCGGGGGAGGCGGUGGUGCAAAGGAGUUAGGGUUUUUUUAGAUUUUGUUUUUAAACCCGGUUUGUAUGUAAAAACCGGUUUAAUUUGUAAACCAAAAAUAUUUGUAACCUGUGGUUUAAUUUAUAAACAGAAAUCAGUUGUAUACCGAAUUUUAAUAUAAACCGGUUUCAUUUAUA